CACACUAUCAUUAACUGAAUCCAUAGGUUAAUGAGGCGAACCGGGGGAACUGAAACAUCUAAGUACCCCGAGGAAAAGAAAUCAACCGAGAUUCCCCCAGUAGCGGCGAGCGAACGGGGAGCAGCCCAGAGCCUGAAUCAGUGUGUGUGUUAGUGGAAGCGUCUGGAAAGGCGCGCGAUACAGGGUGACAGCCCCGUACACAAAAAUGCACAUACUGUGAGCUCGAUGAGUAGGGCGGGACACGUGGUAUCCUGUCUGAAUAUGGGGGGACCAUCCUCCAAGGCUAAAUACUCCUGACUGACCGAUAGUGAACCAGUACCGUGAGGGAAAGGCGAAAAGAACCCCGGCGAGGGGAGUGAAAAAGAACCUGAAACCGUGUACGUACAAGCAGUGGGAGCCUCUUAAUGGGGUGACUGCGUACCUUUUGUAUAAUGGGUCAGCGACUUAUAUUCUGUAGCAAGGUUAACCGAAUAGGGGAGCCGAAGGGAAACCGAGUCUUAACUGGGCGUUAAGUUGCAGGGUAUAGACCCGAAACCCGGUGAUCUAGCCAUGGGCAGGUUGAAGGUUGGGUAACACUAACUGGAGGACCGAACCGACUAAUGUUGAAAAAUUAGCGGAUGACUUGUGGCUGGGGGUGAAAGGCCAAUCAAACCGGGAGAUAGCUGGUUCUCCCCGAAAGCUAUUUAGGUAGCGCCUCGUGAAUUCAUCUCCGGGGGUAGAGCACUGUUUCGGCAAGGGGGUCAUCCCGACUUACCAACCCGAUGCAAACUGCGAAUACCGGAGAAUGUUAUCACGGGAGACACACGGCGGGUGCUAACGUCCGUCGUGAAGAGGGAAACAACCCAGACCGCCAGCUAAGGUCCCAAAGUCAUGGUUAAGUGGGAAACGAUGUGGGAAGGCCCAGACAGCCAGGAUGUUGGCUUAGAAGCAGCCAUCAUUUAAAGAAAGCGUAAUAGCUCACUGGUCGAGUCGGCCUGCGCGGAAGAUGUAACGGGGCUAAACCAUGCACCGAAGCUGCGGCAGCGACACUAUGUGUUGUUGGGUAGGGGAGCGUUCUGUAAGCCUGUGAAGGUGUACUGUGAGGUAUGCUGGAGGUAUCAGAAGUGCGAAUGCUGACAUAAGUAACGAUAAAGCGGGUGAAAAGCCCGCUCGCCGGAAGACCAAGGGUUCCUGUCCAACGUUAAUCGGGGCAGGGUGAGUCGACCCCUAAGGCGAGGCCGAAAGGCGUAGUCGAUGGGAAACAGGUUAAUAUUCCUGUACUUGGUGUUACUGCGAAGGGGGGACGGAGAAGGCUAUGUUGGCCGGGCGACGGUUGUCCCGGUUUAAGCGUGUAGGCUGGUUUUCCAGGCAAAUCCGGAAAACUAAGGCUGAGGCGUGAUGACGAGGCACUACGGUGCUGAAGCAACAAAUGCCCUGCUUCCAGGAAAAGCCUCUAAGCAUCAGGUAACAUCAAAUCGUACCCCAAACCGACACAGGUGGUCAGGUAGAGAAUACCAAGGCGCUUGAGAGAACUCGGGUGAAGGAACUAGGCAAAAUGGUGCCGUAACUUCGGGAGAAGGCACGCUGAUAUGUAGGUGAAGUCCCUCGCGGAUGGAGCUGAAAUCAGUCGAAGAUACCAGCUGGCUGCAACUGUUUAUUAAAAACACAGCACUGUGCAAACACGAAAGUGGACGUAUACGGUGUGACGCCUGCCCGGUGCCGGAAGGUUAAUUGAUGGGGUUAGCGGUAACGCGAAGCUCUUGAUCGAAGCCCCGGUAAACGGCGGCCGUAACUAUAACGGUCCUAAGGUAGCGAAAUUCCUUGUCGGGUAAGUUCCGACCUGCACGAAUGGCGUAAUGAUGGCCAGGCUGUCUCCACCCGAGACUCAGUGAAAUUGAACUCGCUGUGAAGAUGCAGUGUACCCGCGGCAAGACGGAAAGACCCCGUGAACCUUUACUAUAGCUUGACACUGAACAUUGAGCCUUGAUGUGUAGGAUAGGUGGGAGGCUUUGAAGUGUGGACGCCAGUCUGCAUGGAGCCGGCCUUGAAAUACCACCCUUUAAUGUUUGAUGUUCUAACGUUGGCCCCUGAUCGGGGUUGCGGACAGUGUCUGGUGGGUAGUUUGACUGGGGCGGUCUCCUCCUAAAGAGUAACGGAGGAGCACGAAGGUUGGCUAAUCCUGGUCGGACAUCAGGAGGUUAGUGCAAUGGCAUAAGCCAGCUUGACUGCGAGCGUGACGGCGCGAGCAGGUGCGAAAGCAGGUCAUAGUGAUCCGGUGGUUCUGAAUGGAAGGGCCAUCGCUCAACGGAUAAAAGGUACUCCGGGGAUAACAGGCUGAUACCGCCCAAGAGUUCAUAUCGACGGCGGUGUUUGGCACCUCGAUGUCGGCUCAUCACAUCCUGGGGCUGAAGUAGGUCCCAAGGGUAUGGCUGUUCGCCAUUUAAAGUGGUACGCGAGCUGGGUUUAGAACGUCGUGAGACAGUUCGGUCCCUAUCUGCCGUGGGCGCUGGAGAACUGAGGGGGGCUGCUCCUAGUACGAGAGGACCGGAGUGGACGCAUCACUGGUGUUCGGGUUGUCAUGCCAAUGGCACUGCCCGGUAGCUAAAUGCGGAAGAGAUAAGUGCUGAAAGCAUCUAAGCACGAAACUUGCCCCGAGAUGAGUUCUCCCUGACUCCUUGAG
rnacentral:rRNA from 1 species